rnacentral:rRNA from 1 species
UACAGAGGGUGCGAGCGUUGUCCGGAAUCACUGGGCGUAAAGGGCGCGUAGGUGGCGAUCCAAGUCCAUGGUGAAAGCUCGAUGCUCAACAUCGAGUCGGCCACGGAUACUGGGUUGCUUGAGCACUGUAGGGGCAGAUGGAAUUCCGGGUGUAGCGGUGGAAUGCGUAGAGAUCCGGAAGAACACCGGUGGCGAAGGCGGUCUGCUGGGCAGUUGCUGACACUGAGGCGCGACAGCGUGGGAGCAAACAGG